AGCAAGUGUGGCAUAGUGGUUUGAGUGUUGACUACGACUCUGGAGACCAGGGUUCAAUUCCCGGUUGGCUA
rnacentral:tRNA from 1 species